UCCGAAUACAGCCGACUUUUGCUAUUGCGUGGUCAAAUCUUGCUGGCCUGUUGAUGGAAGCAGGGGACUACGAAAGAGCUCUUGCUUAUUAUCAGGAGGCUAUUCGAUUAAAGCCAAACUUUGCGGACGCUCAUUUGAAUCUUGGGAACGCCUUGAAAAAUCUUGGUAAAGCUCAGGAGUCC